rnacentral:rRNA from 1 species
UGGGGAAUAUUGCGCAAUGGGGGGAACCCUGACGCAGCAACGCCGCGUGAGUGAAGAAGGUCUUCGGAUCGUAAAGCUCUGUCAUCGGGGACGAAGAAUGACGGUACCCGAAGAGGAAGCCCCGGCUAACUACGUGCCAGCAGCCGCGGUAAUACGUAGGGGGCGAGCGUUGUCCGGAAUUACUGGGCGUAAAGGGUGCGUAGGCGGCCUGAUAAGUCAGGUGUGAAAUACCAGGGCUCAACUCUGGGGGUGCACUUGAAACUGUCGGGCUUGAGUGCAGGAGAGGAAAGCGGAAUUCCUAGUGUAGCGGUGAAAUGCGUAGAUAUUAGGAGGAACACCAGUGGCGAAGGCGGCUUUCUGGACUGUAACUGACGCUGAGGCACGAAAGCGUGGGUAGCGAACAGG